UACGUAGGCAGCGAGCGUUGUUCGGAGUUACUGGGCGUAAAGGGUGUGUAGGCGGUUGUUUAAGUUUGGUGUGAAAUCUCCCGGCUCAACUGGGAGGGUGCGCCGAAUACUGAAUGACUUGGAGUGCGGGAGAGGAGAGUGGAAUUCCUGGUGUAGCGGUGAAAUGCGCAGAUAUCAGGAGGAACACCUAUUGCGAAGGCAGCUCGCUGGGACGUUACUGACGCUGAGACGCGAAAGCGUGGGGAGCAAACAGG
rnacentral:rRNA from 1 species